CACACACGCACACGCACAUACAUAGAUAAAAGCACCCCCACAGAAAGAAAACUAGUUUUCAUUGGCCUUGUGCCCCCUCCCUUCCCCUCUCUCCCCCCUCCCCUCAUCCAUACCGGACACCCACGUGCGCGCACUCUCCACCUCGACUCACACCGAAGACGACGGCAACGACAUUGGCGGAGAGGAAAAAAGGCCAGUCAUCCGCGGCUUUCGCUCGUCGUUGUGUUCCUUGUCUUCAUCCUUCCCUUCCUUCUCCCUGCUCUCCUCGCUGUGCAACGAUCUCGGCUCGCCGGACCCCCGCACCGUCUCUUGUUUCUCUCAUUGUUCAGCCCUUACUCUCGUCUCGGCAUUCGCUUCGCGCACGUGAGUCUGGCCAGAGCGGUGAAAGUAGUGCGCAGCAGGUCGGCGGAUCCGUUUCUCAGACCCCCUUCCCGUUGCCGGCAGCAGCACCAGCAGCGGUGCACACAGGAGCUACGUAGGAGCGCAGACCCCGUUUCUCCUCCAGCCCACCAGGACCUACUUUUCCCGCGUGCACCGCGUUGUCGUUGAAUGCAUGGCUGUCGUAACAGUCGUGGUGUCGACGUAGUGGACUCCUUUUCCUUCUCGCUGUUGUUUGAUGGACAGUCUCCAGCCCCUCUCUUGCACACAUCUUACGGAAAUACGUCUUUCUGUGUCGUUCUGCGCAAGCGUUUCUCCUCUCCCUCCUCAAAAUCCGCUCACCGUUUAGUCCGUCGCCAGCGCACCGCCAAAAGUGUGUCCUCUGCCUCACCCUCACCCUAACCUUUUCACACACACACACACACACAGACACAGAUAGAAAACGGGAGGGACUGAGAGCCAGCGCGCUUGUGUCCGCGUGUGUAGACGACUGAAGCGAAUAGGCUCGCGAUCCCGCGAAUCGCGGCGAAAGCGACGACCCCUCCCACCACCUUUUUUCCCUCUCCUUUUCACCAAAGAGGAACAAACAAACUUGAGAAAGAAAAACGAGGACGUACCUCAUACAAGCAGACGCACCACUACUGCGGGGGAGUGGGAGGCAGUGCCGCUCUCUGCACGCCUGUAGCGCGCACACAUAGAAAAGCGCCUCUCGUUGCUGUUUUGUUUUCUUGGCAGCCAGCCCGGGGCUGCAGACAGAGCACACAUCAGGCAACCCUUUUCUCGUUUCGAGGUCGACGAAGGAUUGUGCACUUAAUGCCUCCCACUCGCGCAGGUGCCGCAUCACGUAGCGGCAAAGGCUCGACGGCGGCCGCCAUCCAGACUGCGUUCCGCGAUGUCACGAACAACUACCUUAAUGCGAACAAGGAGAACAUCCAUCCCUGCCACCUUGGCAGGAGCCAUGGCUCUGCUUCUCUAGGGGGGGACAGUGGUAACAUCGGUGGUGGUGGCGGCUGCAGUGCGUCCAGCCCUAAUGUGUGGAGCGGGAGUAGAGAGCCGCUGCUGCGAGAUAACGGCUUCUGCGGUACACCUCUGCAGUCGGACUUUGCGCGCACUGGAAGCGAAUCCGUCUCGGAUGCGGUGGAGUGUGUGACGGAUAAGCCUAGCUUCGGUGCGGCGUUGUUCGCCGCACCACCGGACACACUGUCGCCCAGUGGCCCCGCAGUGGAGGCCGCAGCAGCGCACGGCGAACUUACCCCUAUGACACCCAAGGCGCGGGCCUUGAGCGGCUGCGCCGCGACCGCGGGGAACCCCAGCGAGGACAGCAGCCUCCUCGGUGUUUCGCGAACACCCGGACACAACGCCGCGCACCACCCGGCGCACAGCAACGGCAGUGCCGCUUGCAGGUCGACACAGCAUCGCCAGCGCGGUUUUAGCACACCACAUAGCAAGGAUACCUCGGCGGCAGAAGCAACCCCGAAUGAGGCCCGGCAGCGACCGUUUCGCGUGGCGAGAGCAACCCUGCUCGCUUCCCCGCUGUACGCGCCGUCAAAUGGCUUGGGCGCGGCAGCUAACACAGAGACAAGCGGCGUGCAGGAUGAUAAUGGGAGCGGCUCUCAGUUGCCGUCGCAGUCAUCGCUACUGUGCACUCCGAACAGAGCUUGCCGGUCGGCCGCCGUCGCCGCAGCGGCGACGGCGGCAGCCAGUGGCACCCGCUCACGCCUAGACACGCCGACGCUCCUGGAUGAGAUUCCGCUCUUUUUCAACAACUCAUUCGAGUCCGGCUUUGAGUCGCCGACGGGGGACGCAGCGGCAGGCGACGGGUACGGUGCAGCGCACAUGACGCCAUACCAUACGUACGACCUCCAGAUGGCGGUAGAGGAGGUGCUUCGAAGCUGCCUGGACAGCUUUACCCCUGCCAAGUGCUCCGACGCGAGCGGGGCCACGCCACAUGAAUCGCGGCGGCGGGCGCAGCAGCGACAGACAGCCGCCGCGCAGGCGGCUCCAUUCAACGCGUAUGCGGCGCUCGAGUCGCUUCUCCCACCGUCUGCGAUGGGUGCGGCAGGGCGAGACGGCUUGGAGGUCUGGGCACCGGCGAUGAUGGGGGCUGCGAUGCCGGGCUCCACGCCGGCGCGGCUGACUGCGCCGCAGGGAGCAUUCGCGGAGAGCGACGAUGAGGGCGCGCUGACUACGCCGCAGAGCGACCGCGCGUCGUGCGGGAUGCCGUCCGCCGGCGUGCGCCGAGAUCCGUUGGCUUACUUUUCCACCGCGGCAGUGACGGCUGCCAACAGCAGCGAGGGUCAGUGCGGAGUGACGCACCACGGCGAGGAUGGUGUGGCGUCUGUGGGUAGCUUGAGCGCCGGCUGCGGUGCUUGCGGAGGUGCCGCAGAGUCCCUGCCCCAGCAUUCGAGCGACGCGCACAGCGGACUUGAGUUUAACUGUCGUAAUGGCUGUUGCGGUGGCCCAGACAUGCUUUCCAUGCUCGCUGCAGCCGUUCAGCAGCAGCAUCCGCAGCACCCCCACCCCUACCCCCACAAGGAAACGCGUCCCCAGAGUGCACGCAGCACGACAGGGAGCAUGGAGCUGGACUCGCGUGCCUUCUCGGAGCGCGAUGUCGCCGCUGCAGCGGAGCAGCAGUCCACAGCGCCGCCGCCCUCGUACGAAGUUGCCGCGUGCCACCAGAAGCCGCCGCACCACGGCGGCUACGCCCAUCCCGACCUCUCCUCGGGGUCAUCAUGCGCCGCCGCCACGCAUGCACAGCCUCCAACUCGACGCGGCCAUCACCUUCCCCACGUCAAGGCCGCUGCGGGGUCGCUCAUCGCCGUUGGUGGCCGCCGCGUUCCAGUAGACAAGUUGCACUUGCUCUCCAUCGGCGAUGAGCCAUCCUUGUCGGCACCCUCGUCCAUGGCCGGCCGGGCAGUCACGGCGGCGUCAUCGCGCGGUGGCCCAAAGGCGCGGCCGCAGCAGUCGCCGUCUUCAGCGCUGCAUCACGUCGAAGGGCCGUCAAUGCGACGCGUGCCCAAGGCUAAUCUAGUGACUGUAACCCACCCCGCUGCCGCAGGUCUAGCGGAGGCAGGGGCGCCAGUGCCACCUGGCCGUCACGCUUCUGCGCCGGUCUACGAACGCGACGCGGCACUUCCGAUAUCCUCCUCCUACGCGACCUUGUCGGAGGCGGCGCCGGCACGAGCCGCUGCCACGGGCCCAUCGGCUCGUCGCGUUCCCCCUGCCAUGGCUACACAGCAGCGCCACAGUAGCGGCGGUGCCCUCCCUGGCGUCGUGACCUUGAGCUCGGCUGUGGAUAGAGAAGGCGUGCAACAGAGUAGUGAGGCGGACGUCGUGGCGGUGCUGCAGUUCCCCAAAGGUCAGACGAUGCGCUUCUUGACAAAUCUGUCCAAUGCUGCGCUGGCGACCGCGAAAGAUGCCAUCGCACGCGAUCUGGAUAGUUCGAAGCGAUCCACCGGCGGCACUGCAACGUCCAUGCUGGCGUCCAGGCCACUGCUGAGGUGCGUUGAGGUGGGCAAGGCAUACCUCGCGCACGUUUACGCUGAGGGGAGCCCGCAUGAAGGCGUAUCCUACGAAGACGUUGGCGUGUGCGUGCAGCUAAUCACCCCCUCUUCAUCGCUGUACGCUGCGCUGCUCGGAUGUGUGAAUGGGGUGCUGCUUCGCAAGGUGGACGUUCUCGUGAACGACGAAGACCGUAAGCAGCACGAGCGCGUGCUGCUGCAGCAGACGACUGCGUACAUCGAAUGCGAGCGUCACUUCAAGUUCUCCGGCCUGCCCUUUCAGCUGGAGUCGAUCUACUGCACCUUUGACGGCAGCGUGUGCAUCGUCUUUUACCGCCUCCUCGCCGUGGCCGACGGGUCGGCGUCGUCGCUCGCGUCGCAUCGCCACCCGAGCACGUCGCGUAUGGUGCGGGAGCUCAAGUUUCACCUGAACUGCCGCGUGUUCCUCAAGCGUUGCUUACACCGCACACACACGCACACACAGAAGAAAUAAAGAGCGAGUGCGACGAUGCGGCACUCUGCAGCGCACUAGAAUUUCUUUUGUUCUUUGGUGUUCAUUCUGCAGCUUCCAUCCGCCACCUUGUCCAGUGGAAACCGAUGGCGUGCGGCACGGCGGAAAAGAGAAUACGUUGGCUUCUGCAGAGUCCUCAGGCUGUGGAGUCGGUGGGCGCGGCCAACUCCACCGCCAUCCCUCUUCUCAUCAGAUGCGCUGCAUUGGACUUGCCCGUCUGUAAACCAUAGAUGCACACAAACAGAGAAAGCGAGUGAGAGAUGCACACACACACACACACACACACACACACAUACAGCCAGGCCGAGCCUGGCAUCCGAUGAUGCAUCCCUGCGGGUUGUCGACAAAAGACGGCAACAAAGGUGGGUGAGGGGAGGGGGCGUACACGCCUCGCUUUUUUUUUCAGCUCCUGACUUCGCGCAGAGAACUCUCCUUGAUGCCUGACCUCCUCCACAGGAGUCGAGUCUGACAAUAGGGGAGGGGGUUGGCUGGCUCUGAAAAGAGGGGGGAGAGAAGGACAACUGUAUUCCGCCGUCUGCAGGCGCUCGCUGCGUAUCUCUCUACCGCCCACGAAUUCGGUAUACAAGCGCAUAUUAGCAGCACACUGCUGCUGUAUGUUUUGGUGUUUAUAUACUCAUAGAUGCAUGUGGAGAGGGAGGGGAUCGAGGUAGGAGGUGCGGUGCGGCAAGUAGAGAGCGGGGGUGAAGACCCGAGGCUGUCUGAGAUGCAUGCGAGCAGAAGAGCCCAUUCUAACACAAAGCAUGCACCGCACGUCGGACCAUGUUCCCUGAGAUGGUGGCGUAGCUUCCAUGCUCGAUUUAGCGAUUUUUUUUUUUGCGAUUCUUGCCGCGGGGUGGGAAAGCGGCACAAGCCACUGAGUUGCGAUUUGCCAAAGGCGGGAGCUCUGUCUCACACACCAAAAAAAAAAGAGGUCUGCGCCUGCGUAACCCUCUUCGUCUCUCCCACGAAUCUCUCCGUCGGCUCUUCAACUCUUCCUCCCCCUUUUUUUGUGUGUGUGUGCGCGCGACCGUCGUGGAGGCUGUCUUCUCAAGUUCCUGCCUCGGACCAUUUUCACUUACAGCAUCACCAUCGUCAUGUUAUCCUCGUCAUUUUACAUAGAAGCACAACGACACUCUUCACCGUUUUUUUUUGCCUUGUUUCUCUGGCUUUCAUUUCGAUAUCCUCUUAGAUCUUGGGACGACCUUCUUUUCCUCCUCUUGUACCGGUGCGACCGAAAAAAGAAAAAAAAAGGGCGGCCAGGGGGGAGGAGUGGAGGAACAGUGCUGGAGCGCGUGUGUUGUAGUGCGCCGGAUGCGGAUUGCUCGCGUCACACCUUCCCUCCCUCUGACCCCCCUCCUCCUCUGCGUGUGCGGUUCUUGGUGUUCGUUUUGUUUUUCUUUGCGAGGUAGUUUGCGUGCUUGGGCGCGUCCUCUUUCGGGCUCACAUGCUCGUACCCCUCUCCCCCUUUUUUCGUCUUUGCUGUGUGCGUUUCUGUGGUUUUUUUUUUGAGUGUAAUGCACCAUCAAUCCCUGUUAGAUUCCACACACGUCUGCGUGUCGCUCCAGCGGCCCAUCUCUCGGCUCCCCCCUCUCUCUGUCUCUCCUCGCCUCAUCCACGCUCCCUGCCCGUUGUGUGUGUUCGUGUGCCACCUGUUGUCGUUGUUGUUAGUGUAGCUUUUUGUUUGUUUUAGUAUGGGGCUGGCGUUGCUGUGAUGGUCUCUUCUCGUUUUGUUGUCUCCUUUGUGAGUUCCUCUAUUUUCUUUGCCAUUGUGUUUCUCCGUUGCCCUGCAACUUAGAUCGAGUUAGAUAAACGCAUCUACACACCCACACCCACCCUAAUCGCACAUUCAUACAUACACGCGUACACCUAUUAUAUGCAUGCAUAAACAUGCACCCAUACGCGCGCGCGCACACACACACACACACACAAGCAUGCAGUGACUUCCUCGAAUCCACUCUAGUUCGUGUUUUGUUUUCUUGUCUCUUGUUGCCGUAUCGCACGCCUUCCCCCUUUUUUGAUGUGUAUUCCUUUUAGUUUGUAUUUUGUGUGGGCGGGUGAUUGGGUGGGAUAUAUAUACAUAUAUUUAUUUAACGGACAAAAUACAAAAGACAGAUACAACGACACACCCACACACAGACGGACCUUACGAGCUCUCUCUUUCUCAUGCCUUUAUGCUCCUCUGCCAUUGCAGACGCCUGCGAGGACACCGAUAUGCUCUCAAGCUGUGUGUGUGCGCCCAUGCACGCAUGCCACCGAGUGAUUACUGCUCGUUUUGGACGCGACAAAAGCCGCCGCCUCCUCCAGUGGAAAGUGAUCUGUGCGCGCGCGAGCUGUGAUGGAGCACACAAAAAAAACAAGGGGAGCGAGACCCUGAAUGGAUAGCGGGUCUUUGCGACUGUUCUCUGGCUCCCUUGAGUCGACUCUUCCAUUGGAUGGUGGUUUGGUCUCGCUGUUCGUGGCGUGCAUGUUUUCGCAAAACUAUAUAUAGACUGCAGAGCGCACACAAACAUUUGUAUGCUUCACGUAAAAGAAAAGCGUAUCUCGUGCGCACCCCCGUGCUAUGGCCCAUGCUUUCUAACGCUAUUUGAUGGCACAGAAUCUCGGAACGAUUUCGUCCCUCUUUUGUUUUCUUUGGUGUGUCGAUGUGAUUCUGUGCAGUUGCUUUCUGACACCUGAUUCGCCGUCAUUAUCGCCCCCCCUUCCCCCUCCUCCUCACAG
rnacentral:misc_RNA from 1 species